rnacentral:rRNA from 1 species
GACGAACGCUGGCGGCGUGCUUAACACAUGCAAGUCGAACGGAAAGGCCUGCUUUCCCUUGUGGAUUGCGGGUACUCGAGUGGCGAACGGGUGAGUAACACGUGAGUGAUCUGCCCCCAACUUGGGUAUAAGCCUGGGAAACUGGGUCUAAUUCCCGAUAGGACUGCAGGGUGGUGCCUGUGGUGGAAGACGAUUUUCUAGUGGUUGGGGAUGAGCUCGCGGCCUAUCAGCUUGUUGGUGGGGUAAUGGCCUACCAAGGCGGCGACGGGUAGCCGGCCUGGGAGGGUCGACGGCCACAUUGGGACUGAGAUACGGCCCAGACUCCUACGGGAGGCAGCAGUGGGGAAGAAUGCACAAUGGGCGGAACCCUGAUGCAGCGACGCCGCGUGGGGGAUGACGGCCUUCGGGUUGUAAACUCCUUGCGACCGCGAGGAAGCCACCUGGUUGGAAGGGUGGUGACGGUAGUGGUAGAAGAAGCACCGGCUAACUACGUG